rnacentral:rRNA from 1 species
CGGCGAGUGAAGCGGGAACAGCCCAAAUUUGAAAUCUGCUUCGGCCGAAUUGUAAUUUGCAGAGGCAGCUUCUGAUGCGAUACGACCCGAGUCUGCUGGAACGCGACGCCUUAGAGGGUGAGAGCCCCGUCUGGUCAGUGUCAAAUCUCUAUGUAGCGCCUUCGAAGAGUCGGGUAGUUUGGGAAUGCUGCCCUAAGCGGGAGGUAAUCAUCUCCUAAGGCUAAAUAUCUGCGGUAGACCGAUAGCGCACAAGUAGAGCGAUCGAAAGAUGAAAAGCACUUUGAAAAGAGAGUUAAAAGCACGUGAAAUUGUUGAGGGGGAAGCGCUAGAAACCAGACUUGCUCCGGGCAGUCAGCCUUCGUUUUCGUUGGUUCGCCUACCCUUUGCAGGCCAGCAUCAGCUGCCUUGGAUCUAUAAAGGCUCUGGUCGCGGCUUCGGCUGUGACCGUUGCAUAAUCGUUCCGUGGCGGCUGAGGAAUGCGUUCGCUUGGAUGCUGGCGUAAUGGUUUUCAGCGGCCCGUCUUGAAACACGGACUUGGGAGUCAAGCAGUGGGGCGAGCCUUUGAGUGUCAAACUCGCAGGCGCAAUAAAAGUGAGCAGAUGGGAGCUUCGGCGCACCGUCGACCGAUCCUGAUGACUCGGAUGGAUUUGAGUAUGAGUCUUACUGCUUGGACCCGAAAGGUGGUGAUCUAUGCCUGAAGAGGCUGAAGUCAGGGGAAACCCUGAUGGAGGGCCGUAGGGGUUCUGACGUGCAAAUCGAUCUUCUCAUUUGGGCAUGGGGGCGAAAGUAAGUUGCUCUCUAGCAGAGACAUUGACGAAUACAUGCUAAC